rnacentral:rRNA from 1 species
UACCGAAUACGAUCCGAAAGUCGCAUGACAUUUGGAUGAAAAGGGUGGCCUAUCGAAGAAGCUAUCGCUUGAAGAGGGUUUGCGUCCGAUUAGGUAGUUGUGAGGUAACGGCCCACCAAGCCGACGAUCGGUAGCCGGUCUGAGAGAUGAACGGCCACAUUGGGACUGAGAUACGGCCCAAACUCCUAGGGAGGCAGCAGCG